rnacentral:lncRNA from 1 species
GGGCGGGCCCGGCCGUUGCGGACGCGUCGCGCGCUCUCGAGCGCGAGCCUCCUUCCGCCCCUCCCCCUCUCCCGUGAGGGAGGCUGGAGGCUUGAGGAAAAACCAACAAAAAAGAAGAAAAGCCUCACCAGACUUGCAUCAGCCUUAAAGUACCUCCCAGAGGUCUUCUUAAGGUGUCCCCAGGAGGAGCUUUAGUGAACCAUCUCUCACAAAAAUGCCCCCUCACCUCAACAGAGAGCCUUAGCGGCGAGCAGGUCAUUUCGGAAAGUGCUCUGACAUUGCAGUGAUCUCUCUAAACACUGUCGUCACGUGGGACAGAGAGCAGUCACCAGAGGGCCAACAGUCUCAUUGAAUGUGGUUCACCAGCCUCCCAAAUACUUCCCCCAUUGUUGAUGCUUGAAAUCCCACCAUUAGAACAGCUUUCCUGCGCCAACAACCC